rnacentral:rRNA from 1 species
UACGAAGGGAGCUAGCGUUGUUCGGAAUCACUGGGCGUAAAGCGCACGUAGGCGGAUGUGUCAGUCAGGGGGUGAAAUCCCCGGAGCUCAACUUCGGAACUGCCUUUGAUACAGCACGUCUUGAGUCCGAUAGAGGUGGGUGGAAUUCCUAGUGUAGAGGUGAAAUUCGUAGAUAUUAGGAAGAACACCGGUGGCGGAAGGCGCCCACG